GCAAUUUGAGCACCUUCCUGCAAUCAAACAGGAAUCAAAUUCCUCUCCUGUCUCCGUGGGAGAGGGCUGUCUGUGCUCCAUUCAAACCCCACCAGACGCUGAGACCCGAGGUCAGGCUGGCAGGGGGCUGCCUGAUGGUUGCUGUACUCAUGUGGGUGUCUGCAUUUUGGUAAUGACUGAGAGCUCAAUUGCUCCUCUAGGUCAGCUGCUCCACUUUUAGGAGGAAUGAGUUUCCUACUCAUUCCCUGUUUGGGUUCAUGGCCUCGCUGGUUCCUGGAUAUCCAGGAGUACUGCAGCUGCUUUGUUCAUAGCAGAAAUGGAGGAGGCGGAUUCCCCCUCUACAGGACUAACACACCCAAAUCUGACUGCAAGGCGGAGGAUGUGCAAGCGCCCUGCAUGAGAGCAUCACCAGUUCCUUACUGUGAAUUCACCCAUAACAGCAAGCACAAAACCACGCCGCCUGCCCUCAGCCACGGGGCUGCACACCGCAGAGCCCCUCGCCAUCUGCACGCACCGCUUUGCCCCCAGCCCUGCGCCCGCAGCACCGCUCACGUGCGGCCGUCAGCUGAUGGGGAGGAUGACUCAGCCGGCAGCUGUCGGGCCCCUAAAAUAAUGACAAAAACAAUUAGCAGUCCAAGCAGUAGCCUCUCCUUAAUUAUCUCCUCCGAGUUUAAUUAACUAGCUAAAUUAUCAGCAGUAAUGUAGGCAUUAAUUAUGUCAAAUUACAGUGUAAAAAUCACAAAGUGUGGAAAAUGUCAAUUCAGCUGAGCUCACCUGCCGGGCUGAGACAGCGCCGGUGACAGAGGCUCAGCCCAGCACAGGGCAGGGGCUGCUCUGCUCUUCGGGCUGUGGGACCCACAUGGCUCCACGGCCACACCAGGGGAUGGCAAUGGCAGAGAUGGUGCUGCAUUUUGGGUGGGGGAACACUGGAGAGCGGUGAGGCUGCAGCAGUUUGGCUUCGGCAGAGGGAGGGGAAG
rnacentral:lncRNA from 1 species